rnacentral:rRNA from 1 species
UACGUAGGGUGCAAGCGUUGUUCGGAAUUACUGGGCGUAAAGGGUCUGUAGGUGGCCAACUAAGUCAGACGUGAAAUCCCUCAGCUUAACUGGGGAACUGCGUCUGAUACUGGAUGGCUCGAGUGUGGGAGAGGAAUGCGGAAUUCCAGGUGUAGCGGUGAAAUGCGUAGAUAUCUGGAGGAACACCGAUGGCGAAGGCAGGUCUCUGGGCCACUACUGACGCUGAGAAGCGAAAGCAUGGGGAGCGAACAGG